AUGCGCAGAGCGAGCGGUGGGCGGGGCGGAGCUGCGGGGCUGCGGGUCGGUGUGAGGGGGAGGGGCGGGUGGUGCCAUGAAGGGAGGAGGGGCCGGGCUGAACGGGCCGGGCUGAACGGGACGGGCACGGAACCAAUAAUGCUGCGGCACCGCCCCCCCCCCCGGCUGUGUAGCACAAACUGCUCCCGUGCCCCGCAGCUCCACCUUUGUGCCCUGCAGCACCUAGCCCAUAUCCCCACAUAUCCCCCAUAUCUCCCUAUAUCUCCCCAUAUCUCCCCAUAUCCCCCCAUAUACCCCCCGUGUCCCCCCGUGUCCCCCCAUAUCCCCCCCCAUAGGACCCCUGUGACCCCAUAUCCCCCAUUAUCCCCUAUAUCUAUAUCCCCCAUAUUCUCCUCCGUGUCCCCAUAUCCUCUGUGUCCCCAUAUCCACCUCCCGUGUCCCCUUGUCCCCCCAUAUCCCCCCAUAUCUUCUCCGUGUCCUCAUAUCCCCCCUUAUCCCCCUAUAUCCUAUAUCCCCCCAUAUCUCCUCCGUCUCCCCAUAUUCCCCUCUGUGUCCCCCUCUGUGUCCCCAUAUCCCUCCAUAUCCCCCCAGUGUCCCCAUAUCCCCCCCGUGUCCCCUUGUUCCCCCAUAUCUCCUCCGUGUCCCCAUAUCCCCGCCCAGUGUCCCCUUGUCCCCCCACAUCCUCCCAUAUCUCCUCCGUGUCCUCAUAUCUCCCCAUAUCCCCCUAUCCCCCAUAUCCCCCCGUGUCCCCAUAUCUCAUCUGUGUCCGCGAUCCCCCCGUGUCCCCAUAUUCCACCAUAUUCCCUCCGUGUCCCCAUAUCCCCCGGUGUCCCCAUAUCCCCCUCCCUGUGUCAUAUCCACCAUUACCUUCGAUGUCCCCAUAUCCCCCCCGUGUCCCUAUAUCCCUCCAUAUCUCACCAUAUCCCCCUCCCCGUGUCCCCAUAUCCCCCGUGCCCCCAUUAUAUCCCCUAUUACCCCCAUUAUAUCCCCAUCACACACUGGACGCCGCCUGAGGUUUGCGGCGGAUUCUCCCGCUGUCCCGGCUCUGGGCGCAGCGUUACGGUCACAAACUCAGCCCCCCCCUCCGCUCCGAACGGACCCUCCGGCGAUAACGGAGCUGGUUCGGACCGUGGGUGUCGGCAAAGAACUCGCAGCGUCCGCUGCUCACAAAGGGAACACGGAGAAGCGCUGCCUCGCGGCGGGGUUUUCAAUGCAGGGACGGACGGAGCGGCCCAACUCCGGGUUGUGCUGCAGGGAUCGAAGUUCGGGGCGAACGCGAACGGAGCGAGAGUGAGAACCGCUGUUACGGUGCGCGAUGAACCGGCUGCAUCCGCUCCUCCGUGA
rnacentral:lncRNA from 1 species